rnacentral:rRNA from 1 species
UACGUAGGGUGCGAGCGUUAAUCGGAAUUACUGGGCGUAAAGCGUGCGCAGGCGGUUUUGUAAGCCAGAUGUGAAAUCCCCGGGCUCAACCUGGGAAUGGCAUUUGGGACUGCAAGGCUCGAGUGCGGCAGAGGAGACUGGAAUUCCUGGUGUAGCAGUGAAAUGCGUAGAUAUCAGGAGGAAUACCGAUGGCGAAGGCAGGUCUCUGGGCUGACACUGACGCUGAGGAGCGAAAGCGUGGGGAGCAAACAGG